UUUGGUGCGAUGAUUAUAAAAAUUCCUCGUUCUGAUUGCUAAAUGGCAUGACAGACACCUUACACCCAUAGAAUAUGAGCACCA
rnacentral:snoRNA from 1 species